AUUAUACUCCCUCCAUCCAAAAAUACUUGUCAUCAAAAUGGACAAAAAGGGAUGUAUCUAAAACUAAAAUACAUGUAGAUACAUCCCUUUUAUCCAUUUUGAUGACAAGUAUUUCCGAACGGAGGGAGUAUAUA
rnacentral:pre_miRNA from 1 species